GUGCACCAGUCGCGAAACCUCCGCAAUGCGGGAAACCGUGACGGGGUCACCCCGAGUGCCACCCGAUGAGGGUGGCUUUUCCCCGGUCUAAAAAGCCGGGGGCAAUAAGCGGGGGGCAAGUCUGGUGUCAGCCGCCGCGGUAAUACCAGCCCCGCGAGUGGUCGGGACGUUUAUUGGGCCUAAAAGCGUCCGUAGCCGGCUCGGUAAGUCCCUCCUUAAAUCCACGGGCUCAACCCGUGGGCUGGGAGGGAUACUGCCGGGCUAGGGGGCGGGAGAGGCCGAGGGUACUCCCGGGGUAGGGGCGAAAUCCGUUAAUCCCGGGAGGACCACCAGUGGCGAAGGCGCUCGGCUGGAACGCGCCCGACGGUGAGGGACGAAAGCUGGGGGAGCAAAGGGGAUUAGAUACCCGGGUAGU
rnacentral:rRNA from 1 species